AUACGUAGGGAGCAAGCGUUGUCCGGAAUUACUGGGCGUAAAGGGCGCGUAGGUGGGUAUUUAAGUCAGGUGUGAAAACUCCGAGCUCAACUUGGAGAUUGCACUUGAAACUGCUGAUCUUGAGUAUCGGAGAGGCAAUCGGAAUUCCUAGUGUAGCGGUGAAAUGCGUAGAUAUUAGGAGGAACACCAGUGGCGAAGGCGGAUUGCUGGACGACAACUGACGGUGAGGCGCGAAAGCGUGGGGAGCAAACAGGAUUAGAUACCCUGGUAGUCCACGCUGUAAACGAUGAAUACUAGGUGUGCGGGGACUGACCCCCUGCGUGCCGCAGCUAACGCAAUAAGUAUUCCACCUGGGGAGUACGAUCGCAAGGUUGAAACUCAAAGGAAUUGACGGGG
rnacentral:rRNA from 1 species